CGCCCUUCCCCGGCCUUUGGGGUAAGAUCAAAGGUAGUAUCUGGUUUUUGAUCACUUAAAAUCUGGGGAAAGAUCCCCCCUGUGGGGCUAAAAUAUUAAAAUUAUUUUUUUGGAAAAAGGGGGAAGGGUAGGGGCUUGCUCCAACUUUUUCGAGGCCCGGGCCCCGAGCAGUGCCCCCUGGAUGGUCCACUCCCU